rnacentral:rRNA from 1 species
UACAGAGGGGGCAAGCGUUGUUCGGAAUUACUGGGCGUAAAGGGCGUGUAGGCGGCCUGUUAAGUCGAACGUGAAAUCCCCGGGCUCAACCCGGGAACUGCGUCCGAUACUGGCAGGCUUGAAUCCGGGAGAGGGAUGCGGAAUUCCAGGUGUAGCGGUGAAAUGCGUAGAUAUCUGGAGGAACACCGGUGGCGAAGGCGGCAUCCUGGACCGGCAUUGACGCUGAGGCGCGAAAGCCAGGGGAGCAAACGGG